UGUGGGAGCGAGCUUGCUCGCGAUGGCUGCGUCACAUUCAGCAUGGAUGUUGCCUGACCCACUGCUAUCGCGAGCAAGCUCGCUCCCACA
rnacentral:misc_RNA from 1 species